UACGAGUGCCCCAAGCGUUAUCCGGAAUUAUUGGGCGUAAAGGGUGUGUAGGUGGUUGUGUUAGUCUCAUGUCAAAUUCUUCGGCUUAACCGGGGGUACCGCAUGGGAAACGGCACAACUAGAGGAUGCGAGGGGUGAGUGGAACUCAUGGAGUAGGGGUGAAAUCCGUUGAUAUCAUGGGGAACACCGAAAGCGAAGGCAGCUCACUGGCGCACUCCUGACACUGAAACACGAAAGCGUGGGUAGCGAAUGGG
rnacentral:rRNA from 1 species